UUCAUCAGUCUCAAACAUGGCACAAACAAGUUGUAGGAACAAAUUGGAGCUUCUAUUUUACUUGUCCCUGCUGCUUGAAUGGCGACAAUAGCUUCGGGUGCUUUUUGUUACUUUGGAAGAGCUGGUUCCAUGUUGCCGCACUUUAGACAUGGGGUCUCUCGUCUAGUAACUGGAACGUGGGUAAUGAGUCUUCGAUUCAAUGAUAAAUAUUUAUUUCAUUCUAGCACUUAUUUCUCUGCCUUGCCAGUCCUGAAACUCUUUUUUUAUUCUGUUAUAGUCUUUGAUUGACUUGCCGGCCUAUGUUCGCGAUUGUGGUUUGUUGGGGGAGGGGAGGAUUUGGAGAUAAAAUGGAAUGAGGUAAAAUGGGAUUGAGGGGGUGAGGUAGCACGCCACAUGGGCGUCCAUCUCAGUGAAAUGUCAGGCCACAUAGGAUGGUGUUGGCCAUGGUAGAGGGCCCUAACGGCAUAGGGGUAUUUUUGUAUCAGUUCUGUAACUAGAAAGUUAUGGUGGACGGAUAGUAUAACAGAGGAUAUAACUAAUCGUUUUCACGUAGCAGAGGGAUAUUUUUGACAUGUUUCCGUGCAAAGAACUAAAUUUGCAGUUAGAGUUUAUCCAAGGCAAUAAGACACUAGCUGAAUCCAUAAAUUGCCAAUCCUUUAGAUUUCUGAUUCAGAACAUAUAAUUUAGAUCAACAAUAGAUGUAAAUGACUUGAUCAUAUUUCUACCUAGCAGCUAGUUAGAAUUGUGUAGCAGCCAACUGCAAUAUCUAUUUAACCUAAAAACGAUAACAAUUAAAUUUAUAUGUGAUUUUAAAGAUAUGCGGAUUAAUUCAAUACAAAUGAUAAAAAGUGUUAGAUUAAACAGAUAAAGGGCGUGAUAAAUUGUCAAACCCACUAAGAUGAAUGACCCCGGACUGAGUAACAGCUUAAUUAAAUGCCUGCCUUCGAUCUCGGGCUCACGAUAACGAAGAACUGAUGGACAAAAGUAAGAACUUUGAAUAACAGAGAAAAUAAGAGUAUAUUGUCAUGAUAUGUGUGUUACAAUGUGUCUAAUGAAUAGUUAGACUCCCCUUUAUAUAGUAGGGGAGUUUUACCCUAAGUACAAUUCCAUAAAAGGUAAAAAUAUUCCAUUUUGCUAAUCACAGAUUUUCUGCCGAUACGUGCCGAGAUUCACGCCGUGACAUCCGGCUAGGCGUGGAUAUCACGGCCCUUUGCUAGUCAUACUCUAUUAUCUGGUAAUGCUCUUCGAAGUUUUGGGAUUCGAAUCAGACCUGGGGGACGUGGCCCUGAUUAUUUCGAGGGCAGGUGUUUUGCCCGGACCCCGAGUCGAGGGGCUCCUUGCCCCGAUUCUGGUUCCUUACGAUCAUGUCUUUGCUCUGUUUCCUCCAUCAAGAACCAAGGUGUCCAAUGGGCUCGAUUUCAUCCGUAUACAGAUAGUCCCCUCGUUUCUCGUAGAUUAAGUUUACUGAAAUGACGAGAAACGACAUAUGCACUUCGAUCCCUUCUUUAAUACUCCGUGACAAAAAUGACAAAGACUCUAAAACAUCCCGUUAGUCGUGUCGUUAUGAUUUCAAAUACGCGUCAGCCAUCGCCAGGUCAUCCCUGAAUACGAAACAGCACGAAACCUUUAUAAAUACUUUCAUCCUUUGUUCAUUUUUUACCUUUUGGCCAAGCUUCUACCUUCGAAUUUUCUCAUGUCUUCUUUCUUUUACCCUUUCGCAGGGCUCGGUACUCCAUCACAAAAGCUUUCUUCGGUAUCUGACCAAGGUUAACCAGCUCGAGGCUGAGAUCAAGGAGCUUGAUGAGAAAAGAGACAUGUAUAAGCUUCUCAACGAGAAACAUGAAGGGGUCGUCAAGAAUCUCCAGGCCGAGCUAGAUGCGGCUCAGAAGAAGCAUGCCGACUUGGUCGAAAAGGUAAAGUUUUUCAAAGUUAGUAAUGAAGACUUAGCCAUGGUGACUAAUGACCAAACCUUGCAGGUUCAGUAGAAGAUUGAUCGGAUCGAUCAACUUUGAGCUGAAAUGAAUGAGGCCCACCAUGGCCGAUGUUUGGAAGGGCAAAAUGGAUCGGCUGGCUUCGGAGAAGGAGACCGCCCAGGCACAACUGGCAUCGAUAGAAGUUCAACUCUGGGUGGCAAAAUAGAAAGCCGAUAAGCGAGCCCAGCUCAACAAGGAACUCCGAGCUCAACUGAACUCGGCCAUGGCAGAGCGGGAUGCCCUCGACAGUGAAUGUGAAGCUGUAAAGGCUCAGAUGCGCACAACCUCCGGGCAUGCUGAGGAGAUGGUGGCCCAGUAUAAGGCCGAUGUCGAGGCAUCUGAGGCCCGCCUGAAAGCCACUGUUGAGUACGUGAAACGGUUGUCUCGAAGGGAAACUCACGAAGAGAUCCAUGCCCGAGUCUUUGACCUAUUUGUCGAGAUCAAGGACGUGAAAAGGCUCAAGGUCGAGGCCAAGAAGCUGGCUGAACCCGAGGAUGAAGAAGGCUCUAACGAACCUGAAGAUGAAGAAGACCCUGACGGCUCUGGUGACGAGGUGGGUUCUGGUGAAGAACAGAGGUAGGUGUCUCAGGAACUUUUGUCUUUGUUUUUGCAUUUUGUACAUUUAUUUUGUUGAGGCCGUUUUCAUUGGCCUUUGUAAAGACAUUCUGGAAUGCAUAUAUAAAGUUUUUUCCCUUUUGGCAAUCUUCAAGUCUAUUACCUUUAGCAUACUUUUUACAAUUGCAAAGAUUUCAAAUGCCUUAGCACGGAAUAAAACAUAGUAAUAAGUUAUUUUUCGGAGGUCCGAACAAGACUUGUCGUCGAUGCAAGUAUUGCUUGAAACUUAUGGGGGCUCGGAGUGACCAGAAAUUUUCCCCAAGAUGCUUGUUUAAAUGUUUUUAGACUAUAAUUUUGCCGAGGGUAACAUUUGAACAGGUUUGGAAUUUUGUUGAUGGCCUUAUGUUUUGAUUACGGGCUUCGGAUAUCUCCGAACUAUUUUUAGGGUGGUCGUAGCCUUUUAGGUUAGGGCACUUCCUAAUAGGUUUUGUGCCUCCGAGUUUCGAUAACCCGAGCCAACUAAACUUAUCCAGGACGGCAGUCCCCUAGUGGGGGUAGCCCUUUGGGCUCAGAUAGGGGUGGCCCUUGGGCUCGAUAGUUCUCGGGUAGGAUUAGCCCUUAGGCUCGAUACUUUUAAGAAGCAAAAAAUGUUUGUUAGCAAAGUAAAAACUUUCUUUCAUUUCUGCGCGUAACAUACAAGAUUGUGUAAAAGCUCGUAUUGCAGCUGGUGUGACCUACUCGGGCACGAUUAAUUUGACCGUUUGGCCCUUACAUUGAAUCCUAACCACCGAGCCUAGACUGUUCGAGCACAGAGUUUCCUUCCUUGCUAAAAAUCUUGACUCGAGGGUGAUGGCCCCCAGUAUUCGGGGUCGAUCUUUGAGUGGACUCAGAUAUUGUUGAUGCGACCAUUGACUCCGAUUUAAAACAGGUCUUCGACUCUAAGUUAGCACGAUUUAUUGUUGCCCCGUUAAAAACCUUGCUGGAAAACCCAUUUGGGACAAAACCGGUUCAAGGAACAAAGAGUGCAACGCGUGCUUUCAGGCCUAAUCAGCUACAUUAUCCUUCGGCAUUUGCCUGCAAGUGUUAGCCAAAAUAAAAGAAAAUGAAUGAGGGCGUACCUUAGUAGUAGUAUCAUUUUAAGUGGGCCACGUUCCAGUUGUUUGGUAGCUGUGUGCCGUUUCCCGCUUCGAGUUUGUAUGAACCUUUACCAGUAAUCCCGAUGACUCAAUGCGGACCUUCCCAGUUUGGUCCUAGCUUCCCUUCAUUUGGGUUUCGGGUGUUCUGUGUUACUCUUCUUAAUACCAAGUCCCCAAUGUUGAAAUGUCAGAGGUUGGCUCUUCGAUUGUAAUAUCUUUCUAUCCGCUAUUUUUGGGUGGCCAGCCGGACUAGAGUGGCCUCGCAUCUCUCAUCCAGUAGUUCUAGCCUCAUGCUUAUGGCCUCGGUGGUUAGAUUCUUCAGUUGCAUAUCAGAAUCUGAGGCUCGGUUCUCCCACCUCGAUCAGUAUUAGUGCUUCGGCGCCGUAGACCAACGAAAACAGGGUGGCCCCGGUACUGGAUUUUGAGGUUGUGCGAUAUGCCCUCAAGUCUUCGGGUAGGAUUUCCUUCCAUUUCCCUUUGGCAUCGGCCAACCUUUUCUUAUGGUUUUGAAGGAUUGUUUUAUUCGUUGACUUCGCCUGCCCGUUCCUACUAGGGUGAUAAGGUGUUGACAAGAUCUUCUUGAUCUUAUGCUCCUCAAACAAUUUGCUUACUUUGCUGCCGAUGAACUGUUUCUCGUUAUCACAUACUAUCUCGGACGGUAUACUGAACUGGCAUAUGAUGUGGUCCCAAAUGAAGUCUAUGACUUCUUUUUCCUGGACUUUCUCGAAUGCUUGAGCUUCAACCCAUUUAGAGAAAUAGUCAGUCAUAAAUAGUAUAAAUUGAGCCUUACCAGGUGCCCACGGUAGGGGACCGACGAUGUCCAUUCACCACUUCAUGAACGACCAGGGCGAUAAGACCGAGUGUAGUAACUCCCCGGGCUGAUGGAUCAUUGGUACGUGCCUCUGACAGCCGUCGCAUUUUCAUAUGAACUCCUUCGCAUAUUUCUCCAUGUCAAUCCAGUAAUAGCCGGCUUUGAUUAUCUUAUGAUCUAACGAUUCUACCCCCGAAUGGUUUCUACAGGUGCCUUCGUGAACUUCCCUUAAAACAUAUUCGGUGUUUCCCCGCCCUAAGCAUAUGGCGAGUGGGCCAUCGAACGUUCUUCUGAACAGAGUAUUAUCUUUGGACAGGCUAAACAUGGCCGCCUUCGUGCACAGAGUUCUCGAUUCUUUGGGAUCCGAAGGCAGCUUCCCGGUCUUCAUGUAAUCUAUAUACUUGUUUCUCCAGUCCCAAGUUAAACUUGUCGAGUUUAUCUCGGCAUGUCCUUCUUCCACUACCGAUUUCAUGAGUUGUACGACCGUUCCCGAGCUGAAUUCAUCGUCAUCAGCCGAUGACCCCAAGUUGGCCAGAACAUUGGCUUCGCUAUUUUGAUCUCGGGGCACGUGUUGUAGGGUCCAUUCCUUUAAUCGAUGUAGCGUUACUGUAGUUUAUCCAAGUAUCUUCACAUUCGUUCCUCUUUCACUUCGAAUGUCCCAUUGACUUGAUUUACCAUAAUGAGGGAAUCGUAUUUAGCUUCGAUCACUUCAGCCCGGAGGAUUUUAGCCAAUCUGAGACCUACAAUCAUGGCCUCAUACUCGGGCUCAUUGUUAAUCAAUUUCAUAGUUCUAACAGAUUGCCUAACUACGUUACCUGUGGGCGGCUUCAAUACGAUGCCGAGUCCGGACCCCUUUAUGUUCGAGGCACCAUCCGUAAAGAGGGUCCAGAUCCCCGAGGAGGUUCCCAAGGUUAGCAGCAAUUCCUUUUUGACUUUGGGUAUUAAGGCCGGCGUGAAGUUGGCCACGAAGUCUGCCAAAAUUUGAGAUUUGAUGGCGUUCCGGGGUCGAUAUUUGAUAUCGUACCCGCUAAUUUCAACGGCACAUUUGGCCAACCAUCCCGAGAGCUCGGGUUUGUGCGUUAUGUUCCUUAAUGGGUAAGUAGUUACGACACAUAUGGGAUGGCAUUAAAAAUAUGGCCUUAAAUUCCUAAGGCGCUUAGCAAAGCGAGCACCAAUUUCUCCAGGUGAGGAUACCUCAUUUCGGCCUCGCCUAGAGUCUUGAUAACGUAAUAUACAGGAAAUUGCGUACCUUCUUCUUCCCGGACUAAAACUCCACUUACCGCUAUCUCGGAUACCGCUAAGUACAGGUACAACUGCUCGUCUCCCUUCGAGUAUGAAGCAAAGGUGAACUCGAAAGGUACUGUUUGAAUUCUUCCAAAGCUUGCUGGCACUCCGGGGUCCACGAGAAGUUAUUCUUCUUCUUCAAUAACGAGAAUAACCGAUGGCUCUUAUCGGAGGACCUUGAAAUGAACUGACCCAGGGCGGCUAUGCACCUGGUUAGACUUUGAACGACCUUGACAUUGUCCACCAUGGUGAUAUCCUCUAUAGCUUUGAUCUUGUCGGGAUUGAUCUCUAUCCCCCGGUUGGACACCAUGAAUUCGAGGAACUUCCCGGAUCCGACCCCGAAUGCGCAUUUCUCUGGGUUUAGCUUCAUAUUGUAUUUCUUUAGUAUGUUGAAGGUUUCCUGCAAGUGUUCCAAAUGGUUCUCUGCUCGCAGGGACCUAACUAACAUGUCGUCAAUCUAUUCCUCCAUUGAUUUUCCUAUUUGCUCUUCGAAUAUCCAAUUUACUAGGCGUUGGUAUCUGGCACCGGCAUUUUUUAGUCCGAAUGGCAUUAUGUUAUAACAAUAGGUACCGUAUUUAGUGAUGAAGGUUGUCUUUUCUUGGUCGCCCGGAUCCAUCCUGAUCUGGUUGUACCCGGAAUAGGCGUCGAGAAAGCUGAGUAUCUCGUGGCCAGCCAUCGCAUCGAUCAUGCGAUCGAUAUUAGUCAAAGGAAAAGAGUUCGUAGGGCAUGCCUUGUUCAAGUCUUUGUAAUCUAUACACAUUCUUAAUUUAUUUCCCUUUUUAAGCACUACUACUACGUUUUCUAAUCAACCCGGGUACUUAACUUCCCAAAUGGAACCGAUUUUAAGGAGUUUGGAUACCUCGUCUUUGAUGAAUGCAUUCUUGACUUCGAACUAAGGCCUCCUCUUCUGUUUAACCGGGUGGAACUUCGGAUCCAAGCUUAGCUUAUGAAUAGUUAUUUCUGGCGGAAUCCCUGUCAUAUCAAGAUGGGACCAAGCAAAACAAUCUAUGUUAGCUAUAAGGGGUUCAAUGAGUUUUUUCCUGAGCUCGAGAGUUAGCCCCGUGCCCAGGCAUACCUUCCGAUGGGGCAAGCGCUUGACCCGUACGACUUGCUCCAGCUCCUCAACCGUUGACUUGGUAGCAUCGAAAUCUUUAGGGGAUAUGAACGACCUAGGGACUCCGUAAUCAUCAUCCUCACCUGCCUCCUGCUUCUCUGGUUCGGUCGGGACCGGUGUCGGUGAUUGCUAUUUGGUUUCUUUACUUGUAACCGGACUCAGGUCCGUUGGUGCAGAUAUCGGGACCACCUCAUCGACCGCGAACAUUUUCUUUGGGGUCAGCUGUUCUCCGUAAACAGUCUUGAUCCCUCCCGGUAUAGGGAAUUUCAAUACCCGAUGUAAUGUCGAGGGUACUGCCCUUAUGUUGUGAACCAUGACCUUCCGAAUAGAGCAUUAUAUCUCAUAUAUCCUUCGAUCACGUAGAACUUCAUUUUCUAAACAGUUCCGGUGGUGUUCACCGGCAAGGUUAUUUCCCCUUUAGUAGUCUCGCAUGCCAUGUUAAAUCCGUUUAAAACUCAUACUACAGGCACUAUUUGGUCUUGCAGACCCAGCUGUUCCAUGACCCUCGAUCUGAUGAUAUUGGCUGAGCUUCCUAGACCCAUUAACACACGCUUAACUCGAGAUUUAUUUAUGAGUACGGAUAUUACCAGUGCAUCAUUAUGUGGUUGCACGAUGCGUUCAGCGUCCUCGUCGUUGAAAGAUACGGUUCCCUCCAGUACAUAAUCUCGAGUUCAUUUUUCCAUUAUAAUAGACACCUUAGUGCGCUUCAACAUCGGUCCCUUGGGGGACAUCAACUCUACCAAUGAUCAUGUUAAUGACGUGCUGAGGUUCAUCUUGAUCGAUCUGCUUGUUGGAGUCCCUAUUCCUGAAGUGAUUUUUGGCUCGAUCACUCAAAAAUUCUCAGAGGUUGUCGGCAGUCUUCAGUUCUGUGGCCGUGAGUACCAUGAUACUUGCACAUUAGGUUGGGGUCCCUUCGGGUAGGAUCGGAUUGCAACGGUCGAGGCCACUUAGUAUCUUUGAUACGUCCGAUGGCUGAUAUGAUACCGGCAACAUCGACAUUGAAUUUGUACUCCGAUAACCUCGGUGCCUCCUUAGACCCGAUGGGUCUGUCGAAACCAUUUUUUCUCACUAGCCCCCGGUUAUUAUGACCUCGAUCACUUCUUCUUUCAUUCCUCCUAGGGUUGCGUCCGGACCCAUUACCCCUUCGAUCUCCAUUGUAUAGUUGAUACCGAUCUCUGCUCGAUUUUGGUUCAUGAUCGACGUCUCUUUUGGAUAUGUCGCUAGUUAUGAUGGAAUAAACGGAACCGAAAGGGGCCCCGAGCUGAUCAUCUUCGACCCUAAUUUUUGAUUGGUACCUGUUAUGGACGUCGGCCCAAGUUACCACCGGGUACUCUAUCAAAAUUUGUUUCAACUACUGCGAAGCCAAUGAGAUUUGGGGGUUGAGUCCUUGGGUGAAUGCCUGAACGGCCCAAUCAUCUGCGACCGAAGGCAGAUCCAUCCGUUCCAUUUGAAACCUCGACACGAAUUCCCUGAGCAUCUCGUUAUCUCUUUGCUUUACUUUAAAAAGGUCUGACUUUCUGGUCUCGGCCUUGAUGGCCCUGGCGUGCGUUUUAACUAAGGCAUCUGCAAGCAUAGUGAACGAAUCAAUAGAAUUAGGGGCUAAGUUGUGAUACCAUAUCAUAGCUCCUUUUACAAGGUCUCUCCUAACUUUUUCAGUAGAACGGAUUCGAUCUCAUCUUCUUGCAAAUCGUUUCGCUUGAUGGUGCACGUGUAGGAGGUCACAUGUUAAUUUGGAUCAGUUGUUCCAUUAUACUUGGGAAUUUCAGUCAUACGGAACUUCUUUGGGAUCGGCUUCGGAGCUGCGCUCGGAGAGAAAUGCUUUUGGACAAAUUUCUUGGAAUCCAGGCCCUUAAGUAUCGGUGGUGCUCUUGGGAUUUGAUCGACCCUGGAGUUAUUGGUCUCCACUUUUUUGUCGUUAGCUUGGAUUUUCGUUUCUCCCGAUUCCACCCGUUUUGUCAUUCCCUCAAGCAUCUUUAUUAUCUCGGGGUUGGACCCGGGUUCUACUUCACCCAGCCUUUCUGUGGCUGGUCCAUUUCUGCGAGCGUUUUCCUGGGAUGGUUCGGGCUCAACUCUGCUGGGGGCGCGACUUUGGUUUUGCAACUGGGCUAUCGCUGCUUGUUGAGUGUGUAACAUUUUGAAGAUCACCAGCAAGUUGAUCCCAUCACCUUCGCUGUCGUGUGUACUCCGGGCUAUCGACCGGUCUCCCUCGCGAAUGCUAUUUUCGGGAUCAGUAGGAGGGUUUGCUUCGAUAGCCACGUGUGAGUUAGCAUCAAUCGGGUCCACGACUGGGACUCCGUUAGGGUAAACAGGGGGCACCUUAUUGCUGGGCACCACGUUGUUGUUCUCGCCAUGGUGGCUAGACUCAGCAUCAACGUUAAAAUGGGCAGAUUGGGCGUUUGAAUUUUUAAUUUGACCUGAAAUUAAAAGCUCAAAGAACAAGUGUAAAAUAGAGUGUGUUAUAGAAAUUUGUAUCAAAUUGCCACUAUUAUCCUUAGCCCCACGGUGGGCGCCAAACUGUUUACCCUAAAAAAUGGAUAAUAAUUGAAUUUAUAUAUAAUUUUAAGGAUAUGCGGAUUAAUUCAAUACAAAUGAUAAAAAGCGUUAGAUUAAACAGAUAAAGGGCGUGAUAAAUUGUCAAACCAAUUAAUAUGAAUGACCCCGGACUCAAUAACAGCUUAAUGAAAUGCCUGCCUUCGAUCUCGGGCUCACGAUAACGAAGAACUGAUGGACAAAAGUAAGAACUUUAAAUAACAGAGAAAAUAAGAGUAUAUUGCCAUGAUAUAUGUGUUACAAUAUGUCUAAUGAAUAGUCAGACUCCCCUUUAUAUAGUAGGGGAGUUUUACCCUAAGUACAAUCCCAUAAAAGGUAAAAAUCUUCCGUUUUGCUAAUCACAGAUUUUCUUCCGAUACGUGCCGAGAUUCACGUCGUGACAUCCGGCUGGGCGUGGAUAUCACGGCCCUUUGCUAGUCAUGCUCGAUUAUCUGGUAAUGCUCUCCGAAGUUUUGGGAUUUGAAUCGGACCUGGGGACGUGGCCCCGAUUCUUCCGAGGGCAGGUGUUUUGCCCGAACCCCGACUCAAGGGGCUCCUUGCCCCGAUUCCGGUUCCUUACGAUCAUGUCUCUGCUCCGUUUCCUCCAUCGAGAACUGAAGUGUCCAAUGAGCUCGGUUUCACCCGUAUACAAUAUCCAAGGCUUAGCCAAACUGAUGAAGCACGAAAGCUGCAGUUGUCCUUAUACACAAUGGUGGGAUAGAGACAAGUUUUUGCAAUGUAUUUGCAUCAGUUAUGCUAGACAUAUCUCUAUUUACUCUCUGGUCCAGACUUUUUCUUUUUGUUGUGUGGCCUCCCACUUAUGCUUUGUGUAGUCCUUACUUGACUCUUUUGUGCUCUUUUAUAUCACUUCCCAUAUUGAUAUUGAAACAUUUGUUGCAGAUGAUGAUGAAGAUUAACAGUAUGGGUGGUUUUCGGAGAAUUUGGUGCAGUAGCUGCUUAUAUGACGAGUCAGCUUUGUUUGUUCUGUUGAAGACGGAUCAGCUAAAAAACGCUUUAUGAUGGAAUUGUAUGUGGAGUGCCUCUAGUCGAGUUCUCUAAUAAUAAAAAUUGCAUUAUAAGUAAUGAAGCUACUUAUAUUAUGGUCCAUUCUCUGGCAUGGUGGAAGUGGACACCCCUAAUACAUCACUGUCAAUUCAAUAUAACUACUUCGAACUUUUAGCAACGCAUGAGUUUGUUAGGACAUAAGCUGUUGCUUGCUGAGAUUUAGCUCUUUCAGUUCAAAAUUGGUUUUAAAUAGUUGGUUCUGGUUGAGUCGGAUGAAUUCCAUUAAAUGGAAAGAAAACCAUUACAGGGAAAAAGAUGUCCCAAGAUUAUUAUGAUAUGUGGGUUUUGAUGCGUAUUACAUAUUUAGGAUUGUGAGG
rnacentral:lncRNA from 1 species